UAGAGCUGUGGAGUGUGACAAUGGUGUUUGUGUCCAUCUAUCAAACGCCAUUAUCACACUAAAUAGUUCCUG
rnacentral:pre_miRNA from 1 species